UCCCUCCGUGGGGACACGAGGAAGCAAGGUCCCAAAGUGGGGACGUUUUAAUUUUAUCUUAGCAAAGAAAGCUCACGCCUCAGGAAGUGGCGCGAGGGUUAUGAACUGUCUUCAAGGGACAGUCGCUGUGACAGAUGCGAAAAGGCAGCCUGGGUCGUGGGGGGAGUGACAGUGAUAUUUGCAUUGUCGUAAAGUGGAGUUGACCUGCGAAAGUGAUUUUUAUGAAUAUUUUACCCUGAAUAAAACACACGGGAAGAAUGCUAAACUGGUAGGAUUCGAGUUCGGCCCUGGCUAACGAGCUGAUUCAGAGCGGGAAAUGACCUUUACUGAGUCUAGAUAGGAAACUUCCGGGCAAGAAAGUAGAAGCCAGGUCUAGGGUACCAGACUCCGCGCUUCCCGCCUCCGAGAGGUGGUUAGUCCUCCUCAGAGUGCAGUCUUCUUGUUCUCCGCAUUUCCCCCUCCGGUGCUGAUGCUUUUCGUUUCCGCGUCCAAACGUCCUGCAUUUCUGCUGUCGCCCGGCUGGCCGAACGCUCGCCCUCUCUGGGUGGGGCCUCAUCUCCGGUGGGCUUGUGCAGCCUUCGGAGAUGGUUCCGGACAUUUCUUACGAGUGUAAAGUUUUGGAGCACUUGAGGAUGCAUUUGUAAAUAUGCACUUAGCCUAUUUUAAAAACAGCUAGAACUUUCAAAUCAAACGAAUUAAAAGAGGACCCGAGGAAGUCCAAUUUAAUAAUGACAGUCAGGCCUAAGUCAAGUGACACCACCAAGGAAGAUAUUUACUGCGCGUGAAUGGUGAAAGCAAGUAAGGAGAGGAAAGCCGAGUGGAGUGGAGAAAGCCCUUCGCCGCCCUGUGCCGAGGGCGUCGCAUUGCGGGAGAGGUGAGCCCAGGGGUAAACUAGCCUCCCAUCAUGAGCAGCCCACGAGGCAGCUGAGGAAUCCCGAGCUCCUCAGAACUCGGGAGCCUGAGUCGCUUCCUGACUGGUGAGCACACCUUCUUGAAGAAUGACACUGGCGCGUACUUACGCGCUGAAAAGACACAGUAAGGACGAGCGGCAGUCUCAGGAUGCAGCAGAGCUACUGUACGUGAAGCCUUCCAGCUCCAGGCGGGUGUAGGUCCUCGACACCGGCUGUUCUUGCGGCGAGAGUCUGGUUGUGCAGAGCCCCGACUGCGGGUGGGAAAGAAUGGCGGAGACCGGGGAGGACCCUGAGAGCUGGAGUCCGUUGGCACACCUUCCGAGGGGCCAGGAGCAGCCCUUAGGUUCCGCAGCGCUGCAGCAGUUGUGGCGCUCGGAGCAGAGGGAGAUUUGGUAGGAGCGCGUGGAAGGAACAGCAUGAGACGCACAAGGCCCCGAGGGCAGGAAGCCAGCCGGGAAGCCUCAGUCUCUCCUCUGAAAACUGUGCCCUGCAAGUCCUCUCUCAGAGGUGCUUUUCGACGGCUACAUUAUGUCGAAGACAGGAAUGAUACAACCAUAUUUAAAAAAUACCAGGAGUGAGAAUGCGUCCCUGAGACAGGGCUCCAGGACAAUGUGCAGAUAAAAAUUGUCAGCCUCUCCCGCGUCUGACCCAUGCCACACAACUCAGUCUGAAGUCCAAGAACAAACCAGAUAAAACACUGAAGGUCAGUGUAUCUUUACCUCCCACUCUGAGUUCACAAACGCAAGGGAGC